rnacentral:lncRNA from 1 species
AAAAAGCAAAUAAGAAUAUUAGAGAUCAAGCCAUUUUUUUAUAAUGCUAGUUUUUAUGAGCUACAGCAAGUCGUAUUAAGUGAUUGGAUCUGAUGUUACAGCGUUUUACGGAGAGUUUGAGAAGACUUGAUCUGAAGAUGAAGUUAGCUUUGUUUCUCCUUCUCACAGGGGUGAUCUUCUUUUCGCUUUUGCUCAAUCGUUACAGUACAGCAACUGAGGGUCGCGGCGAAAGGGCUGAGGUACUGGAUUGCCCUGGUAACUUGGAAUAUUUAAACAACGGGAAAGGAUGCGGUUCUCCAUCAUGUUUUAUCCCCGGCGAGAUGUCGUGUAACAGAGCUGCUAGUGCAGGAUGUUUCUGCCCAAAAGGAAUGGUACUGUGCGGAUUGAAGAACCGCGCCAUCUGCGUCGAAGCAUCAGCAUGCGGAUCGUCUGCUUGUCCAGUGUGUGAGAACGGAUUGAAGUGGUCUGAAGAACAAGGCGGUUGCAUCCCUGAAUAAAUUAUGCACCUUUGCCAUGGUAAUUAGGUUUUAAAUUAUAGAGAACAACUUUAGGCCCUAAAUGAACAUGGAAAAAGACGGAGUGAAGAGACAAUUAACCAAUAACUUAGAAGUAGGCCUGAUUUAAUAAUGGUCCUGGUAAUUGGUCCAAAAGCUGAAACUGAAAUAGUGAGACAUUAAUAGUUUAAUAUUUUGAUUACAAUCCUGAUUAUCAGCCAAAAUAUAAAAAUAAUCUGUAAUAAAUACUUAAUACCUAUUGUUCAGGGGGAUGAAUGAAUAGAUCACCCCCCCCCCCCCAUGAACAAUAGGUAUAUACAGAUCGACACUCAUGUCGAUCACCCUGAUUGCAUUAUCCGACCAAAUAGAUAGACCCGCUCCAUUAGCAUAAUAGGUAUAUAGGUUAAUUAAAUUUGUUUUUGGUUUCCAUUGAUUCAUUCAUCAGUAGUGGCAUGGGUAUUGAAUAAAGUGUAUUAUCAUAUUCUUCAUUGAAAAUGUCACAACUUUUACUAAUCAAAUGUGUAAAGGUCGGAUUACAAAAUCAAAGCGAAAAUAAGGUAAUGCAGAUAAUUACACAAAUAUAUUGGCACCUUCCAUUAGAUUAUUGUCGAUAAUCCACUUAAACAAAAAGGAUUUGACUACUGCUAAAGAAUUUAAAUUCCCCUGUUAUUAAUCAAUAGAAAAUAUGACGAUAAGUUUUUAAAGCAUAUAACUAGGAAUAUUAUGAUAACGAGCAACUUACUACACUGAUGAAUAGCAAAAAAGCCACUCCGUUUGAAUAUUCAUAUAAUAGCAAAGUAAAAUUUUUAUUACAAUAAUUAACUGUUGAUGAUUUUUAUCCGAUUUAUUACAUUGGAGUGCUUUUGUUUCUUUUAAAUUAAAAUAACCAUCACAGCUUUGAGGUUCAAGUAUUAUUUGAUGAUUUUUUUUUUUCGGAUAGAGGGUUUAUGGUUUUUGAAGACCCUACAAAUUCAUUAAAUAAUUGUCAUUAGAUAUUAUAUCCUUUUUGUAAUUCCAAAAUAUAGUGAAAUCGAAUUUCAAUUAAUGUCACUUCCAUCGAAAGUAAUAAAGAAUAACAAAUUAAAAAAUCCUUUCAUAUUGCGUGUAUAGCCUAAAAGUGUUUCAUCUGUACGGUAGCAAAUUAUACUUUCUUAAGAAUAAGCAAUUAAAUCCAGACUUUAGAAUAACGAAGUUAAAAGUACUUAUCAUAAUCCGAUACUUCAUACUAAUUUGAAAGUAAUUUGACCUUGUUAGGACCUUUAUCCUUAUCACAGCUUUUAGUUUCUAGAGUCUUGAACAGAAGAGCCGGUUACGAAUAAUAACUUUAAAAUGCUUGAAAUUAUGUAGAGUUCGAUUAUGAUUCGAUUAUGAAAUUAGCGUUACUAACCUUGUUAUAUUAAGAUAAUGUGUGUACACUGUGCCGUUAUUUAAUGUAUUUUCUACCGAUUAUCUUUAUUUUCAUAAUUGGCACUUUUAUACAGUAUACUACUCAGAUCAACAGCUAUCAAUAUUAAGCCACAUCUUAGUUUUGAUAAAUGAAACAAGGUAUAUUUUAUGAUAAGUUUGUAAAGCUAAGAACGAUAUUUUCACUUUAAUUCAAUCCAGGCACCGAACAGAGGAACAAUAAUUAUAAUUUUAAGUUUUUCUCGGAAAUGCCUCUUUCGCGGAAGUGCAAAAGAAGUACCAGUACUACAUACGCAUCGGAUUUUGCCCAAGGUAUAAUGUGUGGAAGUAAGAAGUUUAGAUGUUACUAUAUCUUAUAUGAAUAUACAAAUAUUAUGGAGUUUCGCUUGUGACUGAAGUGGCUGCUACUUGGAAUUUGAAGGUGGAAGUCGAGAGAUCUUCAAACGCGAGGUUCUAAAAUGGUCUUUUGACAGUGGCCAGUUUCCAUUGAAGGGCAGUCAUCGAUUAAUGAUUGCGUGAGAUUUUUUAAAAUAAAAUUUGUAAUAGUUAACUUUAAAUUUAAACGUGAACAGUUACUUAUGAAAUGCCGAGUAUGUCUUUGGAAAUGAGGAAACAUGGCCUAGUGUAGUGUUCAUCUUUUGAAGGAUAUAAACACUGAGAGAUAUUCACAUGAAACCUCAAGAAAUAUCAAAAUAGAUUAAUAGAACAUUUAGAAUUUUCUUAAAGAAUAGUAUGAAUAUUUUGAUAUUUAUGUUGACAUUAGAGAGAACUGAAACUAUUAUGAUUGAUUUGUUCUUUAUUGUUUGGGGGGGGGGGGGGGACAAAAAAUGUGAUUUACAAAGACUUUGAUACGCCAACCAUUAUUAUUUGAAAAUAAUCAUAUCUGGUAUGCGAUGAUGAUGGUGAUGAUGGUGAUAGUAGAAAUGAUCAUUUAUAGUACAAUCACUACAACUAUAAUCACCAUUACAACUUUGUCAUUUUCUUCAAACUAUACUAUCGCUAUUAUCAUCGCCAUCAACACCUAAUAAAUAUUCAUCAGCAGCAAUAUCAUCGUCAUCGUCGUCGUUGUUGCCAUCCUCCCCAUUAUCACUAUCAUCAUCAGUAGCAGGAGCAGAAGCAACAGCAGUAAAUAUUUGUAAUUUAUUACUAUUUCUCUGUUCUGUUCUCCAAAGUAAUCCUUGCAAAAGGCAAAAGGGAUGAUCAUACAUUAUAGAAUCUGCAUGCAUGCAGGUUAAGCAUUCCCGGAAGAUUCCCGGAAGCUAUUAUAACCAACAUAAUUACAAAUUAAAAGAUUACUGUCACUAAAUAGUACACUACGUCCGAUUCAGAUACGGAAGCGAGAGGG